rnacentral:rRNA from 1 species
UACGUAGGGGGCGAGCGUUGUCCGGAGUUACUGGGCGUAAAGCGCGCGCAGGCGGCUAUCCAAGUCAGUGGUGAAAGCCCGGAGCUCAACUCCGGAACUGCCAUUGAAACUGUUUAGCUUGAGUAUGAGAGAGGUGAGUGGAAUUCCCAGUGUAGAGGUGAAAUUCGUAGAUAUUGGGAAGAACACCGGUGGCGAAGGCGGCUCACUGGCUCAUUACUGACGCUCAGGCGCGACAGCGUGGGGAUCAAACAGG